UAUCGUCCAACCACCAUAAAAAACAAAAAAAUUGUGUCUCUCCUUUCCCAUGGGAAGAAAAUACCUAAUUUUAAACUUCAAUUAUUCAUCUCCUACUCGAUUGUUCCAACCCUACGAGAGAAUCAUUCCUACCUUCUAUCAAUCAUUCGCUUUAAAAAUCCUAAAUCGUGUUAACCAACUAAACCCUAAAUACCAUCAAAAUUAAAUCAAAACCGAACCAAUUGUUUUGAGUUUUCUCCUGAUUCUUUUUUCUUGUUCUUCUUCUUCAGCGAAACCUGGAUGAUGAUUAGUCCUGUUACAAACCCUAGAUACUAAAAUUUCAUAGGGUAAGGGAUAUCUCCUAAUUUGUUUCCUUCUCUUAUAAAUCUAAAAUUCUUCUAAUUUAUGUCUGAGUCUGGCUGUUAUAUUUCUUGUUCAUUAUGAUUUUGUAAUUCAAUUUUGAAAUUUAACCUAUCUUAGUUUGAUUUUUCCUCAUUUAUGGACAUGGAUUUCGUAAUUGCAUGAAUUGAUGAUUAUAUACGGAAGAAGAGGAAAAGGAAAAAUAUGAGAGAAUAAGAUCGAUAGAAGUGGUGGUGGUGGUUUUUAAACUUCAUCAGAAAAAGAUGAACAUCCUAAAGAUUGGUAGGAUGGAGUUAUCUAGAAGGACUAUUAAAAUUGGUAUUGGUUUUGGUUUUCGUUUAUGUUAUUAUACAUCUGCAUUAUGUAUUCAUGGAUUAUUGACCUACUGUUAUGGUUUAUGUAAUAUCAAUGAUCUUGUUUGUUGUGUUAUUUUGAUUUUGUUUCAUAUUGAUAGAAUAUAGACACAGCUAUACUGUGUAACCAAAUUGGAAUCUCCUGAGGUUAAUAUAAAAUAUUUUUGUUCCGUGAAGUUGAUGAAACUGCAGUGUUGCAUCAUAUUCAGAUUAAAGCUUUAUCUUUGAAGUAACUUCGUGCGAACUAUAAGAAUGUUCUGGGCUUCUGGCAAUACAGUCUUUACUUUCGUAAGUUUCUUAGGCAGCUGUAGCUUUUAUACAAGGCUUAAAUUUUGGGUAUAUAUAUUUUAGAGCUCUUCUUAUCUUUUUUUGAUCAGCUUUAGAGCUCUUCUUAUCAAGAGGAUUAUAUCUUUCCAUUUUCUAUGAUUGAUCUGAAUUUCUGUAUUCCUUUAAUAACCUCGUAUUAUUUAUGGAUAAACCCAAGACUUUUGAUUGAUGAAUUGAUCCAGUCAGGUGUAGUUCCUCGUUUUGUUCAGUUUCUUCAGAGGGAGGACUUUCCACAACUUCAAGUGGAUAGAUACUUGCUCUGAAAUUGAGUUAGGUUUUCCCCUUCUUUAUAUUUGAAUACAAUUAAUUAAGUAAAUAACGAUUUAGUGAAACAUUUUAGCUUUCUCCUUCUUUUGUAUGCACUGAUUUAUCAUGAUUUUGAUUUUUGAACAGUUUGACGUGGCUCUGGCUCUAAUGAACAUUGCUUCUGGAACCUCAGAGAAAACCUAAGUGAUCAUUGAGCAGGGAGCUAUCCCAAUCUUUUUGGCGCUUCUCAGUUCCCCCAGUGAUGAUGUUCGAGACCAGACAAAGCCUGCACUCCCUUCUAUUAAGCGUCUUAUUAACUCCACUGAUGAAGAAGUACUUACAGACUCGUGUUGGGCCCUUUCUUAUCUGACGGUACAAAUGAAACCAAGUUGUUAUUGAGGUUGGUGCAUGUCGCCGACUUGUUGAGUUACUGCUUCACCCAUCUCCUACUGUACUCAUUCAAUAUUGUUACUGGAGAUGAUCGUCAGCCCCAGUGUAUCAUUGAACUUUAAGCACUUCCCUGCCUCAUGAACCUGUUGACACAACCAAUAAAAAAGUAUAAAGAAAGAAGCUUGCUGGACUAUAACUUAGGAUGUUUUGUGUUGUAUAAACAUCCUACAAAACUACUACAAGAUUGAAUCCUCAACCACUGCACUUGACAAGAACCUGGGAUUACCCACCUCUAUCUCGUCGGUUGGAAAGAGCAUCCAGGACAUAGCCUUAAAAUAUAUGGGCAGUAAUGUUUGAGAUAGUCCAUCUUCUCAAAUUUAUAUACAUCUAGUGCUUGGUAGAAAAAGGGGAGUUUCUCCUAUUUUUACUUAAAAAUGUCGACGUGUAUCCAUCUUCUCUUCAGUCUGCAACAAAUUCAUUCCCUACUGAUAUUAUAAGACUGGAUGAAGAUAUCAUGUCACCUCUUGCUGGGAGGAGAAGUAACUUCAUACUUAUGAGAGGUUAUAUUUCUGGAAACACAUCCAAACUCCUGGAUAGACCAAUCUGCAAGUGAAGGAAUGUUAUGUCAUCCAUCUGUUUGUCAUUUUAAUUUUAUUUUUAACCUUCAACUAUGUCAUUUGUUGGAAACUCAGCACUAGACUUGAAUUUCUGCGGUGUUAAGAUUUUCUGUGUUGCUUGAAUGUAAUAAAUUUAGACCUUGUAAAUCUUUUUUGAAUGAAUAAAUGAUGUUGUUGGAAAGA